rnacentral:rRNA from 1 species
GACCAACGCUGGCGGCAUGCCUAACACAUGCAAGUCGAACGGACAGACCAGGGAAGCUUUUCGGAGUGGAACUGGAAAGUUAGUGGCGGAUGGGUGAGUAACGCGUGGACAACCUACCUUGUAAAGGGGAAUAACCUCGAGAAAUCGAAGCUAAUACCCCAUAAUAACCUUGCUUCGCAUGAAGUAAGGAGGAAAGGCGGCCUUAGCGCUGUCGAUACAAGAUGGGUCCGCGUCUGAUUAGCUAGUUGGUGAGGUAAAGGCUCACCAAGGCGACGAUCAGGAGCCGGCCUGAGAGGGUGAACGGCCACAUUGGGACUGAGACACGGCCCAAACUCCUACGGGAGGCAGCAGUGGGGAAUCUUCCGCAAUGGGCGAAAGCCUGACGGAGCAAUGCCGCGUGAGUGAAGAAGGCCUUCGGGUUGUAAAACUCUGUCCUUAUCGAAGAGAGAGUGUUGUAGUAACUGACAAUACUAGGACGGUAGAUGAGGAGGAAGCCCCGGCUAACUAUGUG